CAGGGUAACACAUUGCGACGGUCGGUAGAGGACAUUGAUCGCCAACUUUUGACUACGGGCGACAGCAGCAUGCGCAGCUUCUUGCAGCGUUUAUCUAGGCGCCUACGUGGAGCUGCUGCUCGCUGUGGCUGCAGGACUACUGUUGCACAUGACGUCCAUGUACCAUCGUGUACCGACACAGCAACGCCCUCCACAGGUCUUGGUGCUGGCUUCGACUACGAUCACGACGAGAUAGGACCUUCACAGCUUGAGGGGGCUCCUUCGACACAGCCAUUACAACCACAGGAUCGUAGGCGACACCGCUCUCCACAACGUUACACUCCAGGCACCGACGCUUUAGGCAAGGGUAAGACUAGGAGACGUUGAAUUGGUUUGGACUCUAUGGACUUGUUAUGUAACGUAUGAAUUAUAUAGACUUGUAAUGGACUCAUUUGGCCUCUACGGGCUUGUAUGACAUUUUAAUGGACUUGUAUGAAUUCUAUGGACUUGUAAUGAACUUGUUUAGACUUUUAUGAGCUUGCUUGGAAUUGUUUACAAUUGUAUGCACUUGUAUGUUAUGCUUAUCUAUGAGUAUGUCUUGGAUUGACAAAAAACAGAGAAAACUCUGCCGAAAUUUUGUGAAAUUGUUGGUUAUGUCAUGUAGCCUUUACAUAACUAUUACAUAGCCUUUUCAGAAGCAUUAAUUUUAGGACUAGCAUCUAUACUUUUCAGAUCCAUUUCGUAGCCUUUUCAGGAGUGCUUAUAUAGCCUUUUCAGAGUGUAAAAAUAGCCUUUUCAGGAUUGUAUAUAUAGCCUUUUCAGAAAAAGAACAUAGCGUAGGACAUGUAGCCUUUUCAGAACUAGAACAUAGCCUUUUCAGAGUUUUUGUACAUAUCUGAUGUUUAUAAUCUAUUACACUAUCUAUCCUUUAGCCUAUAUAUACACGAUCCUUUGUACAUUUGCUUCAUUGUGCAAUAGAAUGGCUUCAGGGUCUUCUAGGGGCAAGGGUGCGGUAAAUGAGAGACGAAAGGAUGGAGGGAAGUUAACUCCAAUGUCUUUUGAUGGCCCUCUUGGUCCAGAUUUUUUUGAAGAGGCGGUUUUUAACUUUCCAGUUCAAAGUAAAAAAGAUUUCAACAAAGAGGUUAGACUUAGGUCCUACGAUAAUAGGAGAGAAGAUUGGCCGAAGUGCAUGCAUGGCGAGGAUUGCUUGGUGCAGAUGUUCGUUGAGGGUGGAAUUGAUGGAGGCCGGCGUUUCUUCAGAUGUCCUUAUGCAUAUCAUUCAUUGGUCAAGGAGAAUUGUGGGUUCACUCGUUGGGUAGAUCCUCGUCCAAUUUUUCCUCAUGCGGAAUACAUAUCCUACCUACAGAAUAGGAUAUUUGAUCUAGAGAGAGAAGUAAGCAACAAAAAUGAUGAGGAAGAAAGAGACACAAACAAUGGUGGUGCUUCACAGGUGCAAGUAUGCCCAGAUCCAUAUUGUUGCUGCCCUUGUCACAACAAGAAUGUUGGUCCUCCGUCGUCUCCACCGCACCCACAGCAGACACCAACAAUGGGAGGAUACUAUGGGGAAGGCUCAACUCAAUUUGGAAUGUGGGAGCACUACUAGAAAACUCUU